rnacentral:misc_RNA from 1 species
GAAAUGCGAUAAGUAAUGUGAAUUGCAGAAUUCAGUGAAUCAUCGAAUCUUUGAACGCACAUUGCGCCCUCUGGUAUUCCGGGGGGCACAUCUGUUCGAGCGUCAUUACAACCCUCAAGCUCUGCUUGGUAUUGGGCGUCGUCCGUCUGGACGUGCCUCAAAGCCCUCGUGCGGCGUGGCCCGGCUUCAAGCGUAGCAGAAAAACCUCGCUUUGGAAGUCCGAGUCCCGUCUGCCGGAUGACAACACCUUUUUUUACCAAGGUUGACCUCGGAUCAGAUGGGGAUACCCGCUGAACUUAA